rnacentral:rRNA from 1 species
UACGUAGGGGGCAAGCGUUGUCCGGAUUUAUUGGGCGUAAAGAGCGUGUAGGCGGCCAUACAGGUCCGUUGUGAAAACUCGAGGCUUAACCUCGAGACGUCGAUGGAAACCGUAUGGCUAGAGUCCGGAAGAGGAGAGUGGAAUUCCUGGUGUAGCGGUGAAAUGCGCAGAUAUCGGGAAGAACACCGGUGGCGAAGGCGGCUCUCUGGGCCUUACCUGACGCUGAGGAGCGAAAGCGUGGGGAGCGAACAGG